CAUACUCUGCGAUGUGCGAAAAAGCUUAUUUAAUUCAACCGACAUAAGAGAUCCGGGAAACCAAAUUUUUUGAUGGAUAACAGGCCGCGGAAUUGUGGAAGUUAGAAAUCAGGAUGAGGUCAACCACACUGAGUGAGGGCGGGUCUGAAUUAAUAAGUGAUACGGCAUUGUGGAGUUUUU
rnacentral:other from 1 species